GACGAACGCUGGCGGCGUGCUUAACACAUGCAAGUCGAACGGAAAGGCCCUGCUUUUGUGGGGUGCUCGAGUGGCGAACGGGUGAGUAACACGUGAGUAACCUGCCCUUGACUUUGGGAUAACUUCAGGAAACUGGGGCUAAUACCGGAUAGGAGCUCCUGCUGCAUGGUGGGGGUUGGAAAGUUUCGGCGGUUGGGGAUGGACUCGCGGCUUAUCAGCUUGUUGGUGGGGUAGUGGCUUACCAAGGCUUUGACGGGUAGCCGGCCUGAGAGGGUGACCGGCCACAUUGGGACUGAGAUACGGCCCAGACUCCUACGGGAGGCAGCAGUGGGGAAUAUUGCACAAUGGGCGGAAGCCUGAUGCAGCAACGCCGCGUGCGGGAUGACGGCCUUCGGGUUGUAAACCGCUUUCGCCUGUGACGAAGCGUGAGUGACGGUAAUGGGUAAAGAAGCACCGGCUAACUACGUGCCAGCAGCCGCGGUGAUACGUAGGGUGCGAGCGUUGUCCGGAUUUAUUGGGCGUAAAGGGCUCGUAGGUGGUUGAUCGCGUCGGAAGUGUAAUCUUGGGGCUUAACCCUGAGCGUGCUUUCGAUACGGGUUGACUUGAGGAAGGUAGGGGAGAAUGGAAUUCCUGGUGGAGCGGUGGAAUGCGCAGAUAUCAGGAGGAACACCAGUGGCGAAGGCGGUUCUCUGGGCCUUUCCUGACGCUGAGGAGCGAAAGCGUGGGGAGCGAACAGGCUUAGAUACCCUGGUAGUCCACGCUGUAAACGGUGGGUACUAGGUGUGGGGUCCAUUCCACGGGUUCCGUGCCGUAGCUAACGCUUUAAGUACCCCGCCUGGGGAGUACGGCCGCAAGGCUAAAACUCAAAGGAAUUGACGGGGCCCCGCACAAGAGGCGGAGCAUGCGGAUUAAUUCGAUGCAACGCGUAGAACCUUACCUGGGUUUGACAUGGAUCGGGAGUGCUCAGAGAUGGGUGUGCCUCUUUUGGGGUCGGUUCACAGGUGGUGCAUGGCUGUCGUCAGCUCGUGUCGUGAGAUGUUGGGUUAAGUCCCGCAACGAGCGCAACCCUUGUUCACUGUUGCCAGCACGUUAUGGUGGGGACUCAGUGGAGACCGCCGGGGUCAACUCGGAGGAAGGUGGGGAUGACGUCAAGUCAUCAUGCCCCUUAUGUCCAGGGCUUCACGCAUGCUACAAUGGCUGGUACAGAGAGUGGCGAGCCUGUGAGGGUGAGCGAAUCUCGGAAAGCCGGUCUCAGUUCGGAUUGGGGUCUGCAACUCGACCUCAUGAAGUCGGAGUCGCUAGUAAUCGCAGAUCAGCAACGCUGCGGUGAAUACGUUCCCGGG
rnacentral:rRNA from 1 species